rnacentral:rRNA from 1 species
AGUAGGUAGCUUAACCGCAAGGAGGGCGCUUACCACGGUAGGAUUCGUGACUGGGGUGAAGUCGUAACAAGGUAGCCGUAUCGGAAGGUGCGGCUGGAUCACCUCCUUUCUAGA